rnacentral:tRNA from 1 species
GGCCCACUAGCUCAGUUGGUAGAGCAAGGGACUCUUAAUCCCUGUGUCGAAGGUUCGAGCCCUUCGUGGGUCACCA